rnacentral:rRNA from 1 species
UCCGCUGUGGAAAGUUUAGUGAACCUUAUCACUUAGAGGAAGGAGAAGUCGUAACAAGGUUUCCGUAGGUGAACCUGCGGAAGGAUCAUUC